AAGAUAACUUGGCAGGAGAGAUACCAUGAUCAUGAAGAUGAGACUUUUCCAUCACAAUUUCCCCAACUGUGGGAAACUCGACUGCAUAAUUUGUGGUAGGGGGACUGUGUCAGCGCUUUGCCCUG
rnacentral:snRNA from 1 species